rnacentral:lncRNA from 1 species
CUGCCGAUCCCAACUUCGGAAGCCAAUUCAGAUUGUUUGUCAAUUUCUGUUUUAAUCACACAUUUUAGUCACCAGCAUUGGAGCGGUCCUUAUCUCCACUUACCACGCCACUUACCGAUCCAAAGCUUAGCAGUCAGGAUAGAUCCCAUCUGAGGGUUCCACACCUCUUUUCAAAUUCAAAACAAUUUAGCUAACUCCUAAGCUAAUAAGAUAGGUAUAAUUACCGCAUCCCAGACUCUCGGCCCCAAAUC